GUAGUGGUGGCAGUCUGCUACUACAUCCACAGUUACUGCAGCGUAGAGUCAGGUGGUCAGCAUCAAGUCUAGGCACAUCCCUUUGGACAAGAACCAGCUUCACUUCCUAUUUUACUACGACUGUACCAUACAAAUGAAAUAAAUAGCAGCAUUACUGUAAA